rnacentral:rRNA from 1 species
CCUACGGGAGGCAGCAGUGAGGAAUAUUGGUCAAUGGUCGGGAGACUGAACCAGCCAAGCCGCGUGAGGGAUGAAGGUACAGAGUAUCGUAAACCUCUUUUGUCAGGGAACAAAGGCGGGGACGUGUCCCCGGAUGAGUGUACCUGAAGAAAAAGCAUCGGCUAACUCCGUGCCAGCAGCCGCGGUAAUACGGAGGAUGCGAGCGUUAUCCGGAUUUGUUGGGUUUAAAGGGUGCGCAGGCGGUCUGUUAAGUCAGCGGUCAAAGCCCGGGGCUCAACCCCGGCCCGCCGUUGAAACUGGCAGUCUCGAGUUGGAGAGAAGUAUGCGGAAUGCGCGGUGUAGCGGUGAAAUGCAUAGAUAUCGCGCAGAACUCCGAGUGCGAAGGCAGCAUGCCGGCUCCACACUGACGCUGAGGCACGAAAGCGUGGGUAUCGAACAGGAUUAGAUACCCUUGUAGUC